AUUUCUUGUGUCCAAAAUGCAAUAUCUGCACAACCCAAUCUCAAGAUGAUCAAGCAGAAACAAUGUGCACAAGGUGCUUAGCGACGUACAAGAAGACGAAAUUGAUUGCCCCAGCCACAAAGGCCUCGUGGUAGGCGCGCAGAGCGACUUUGCGCGGCACUGCCGCGAAGCUUCACGAGUGACGUAACUGGGGAAGGAAAACCCAUGCCGCUCCCAGCUGCUCCCAUCUAAAUGCAUUGUUUUGCACUCUUUGCCGCGUUUUCCGGUCAAAUAUUGUCGAUUCAAGGCGGUUUUGAACAUAAUCUGCAGGUGUCAGACUAGUUCGGAACCUAGGGAAGCUUUGGCAACGAAGAAAAAGCAUCUCAAAUCAGCUGGAAGCACGAAAAGCCACGAAAAUUCGGCCAAUAUCUCCGUGACGGCGAAGUUGCGGCUCAAAAAAGCAGCGGAAAACUCGGAUUUUUUACGUUUUGUGAGUCGAUAUGUGCUUCAGUGCCGGGAUGUCAACAAAUUAAGUCGUUUCUGAUCAUAUUUGUGCAUGUCCGAUUGUUUUUUGUGAGAGAAAAGCGGAAACGAGUUUAGCAACCGGACAAGUUGUCCCACGGAAUUAACCAAUAUCUCGCUCUGAUUCAAUGUUUUAGAAUUUUGGCGAUUGAAAAGUUUAUAUUUUUAGAUAAAAUUUCAUCACAAUAUGUUGAGCCGUUUAGAAAUCACAAAGUACUAACUGAUGCUCCCUAAAACUGCCGUCGAGGCUGAUUAGCAGGUUUUAGUUCAGACGCUCUUAUUUCUAAACGGCUCAACGUAUUGUGAUGAAAUUUUAAUUCUUAAAUCAAAAUUAAAUUUCCAAUCGAUUGGCUAUCUCAGAAAAAAUCUAAAAAAUUUAUUUCAAUGAGAAAAAGUAAUGUUUUGACUUUGGUCAUCCCGUUGGUAAAUUAAAAAAAUUUUGACAACAAAACGAAUGCAAAGUAAAUUGUAGAGAAUUUAAUUAGCUACAAUUUUCUGUUAGGGUUUGUACUUUUAAAAUUUUUUGUCUAAUUUAAAAAUUAAUAUAACAAAAUUCUCGCGGAAACAUUAAUAACUUUGCUCCAGAUAAAUAUUUUUUUAAGAAUAAAAAAUAAAAAAUUAAUUCAGUUAGUUUGCUACCAAUGCUGAAAAUUUGAACGAUUUAUCUCAACGCUUACUAAUAAAAUAAAAAAUUCGCGCAAACGUCUAAUUAAUCGAGCGCGCCGCUCUCCACCCGCGAGUGCAGCAGUCGGGCGACUCGAGCGAGAGAGAGCCGAGCGAAGCAACAAAGCAGUGGCCGCCGCGUAAUUAUGCUCAUAGCGAGACAACGGCUGCUCGGAUUAAAAAAUAAAUAACACAGCGAUUUUCCUCAUGCUUUAAUUAUUCUAAAAAUAUAAACUUUUCAAUCGCCAAAAUUCUAAAACAUUGAAUCAGAGCGAGAUAUUGGUUAAUUCCGUGGGACAACUUGUCCGGUUGCUAAACUCGUUUCCGCUUUUCUCUCACAAAAAACAAUCGGACAUGCACAAAUAUGAUCAGAAACGACUUAAUUUGUUGACAUCCCGGCACUGAAGCACAUAUCGACUCACAAAACGUAAAAAAUCCGAGUUUUCCGCUGCUUUUUUGAGCCGCAACUUCGCCGUCACGGAGAUAUUGGCCGAAUUUUCGUGGCUUUUCGUGCUUCCAGCUGAUUUGAGAUGCUUUUUCUUCGUUGCCAAAGCUUCCCUAGGUUCCGAACUAGUCUGACACCUGCAGAUUAUGUUCAAAACCGCCUUGAAUCGACAAUAUUUGACCGGAAAACGCGGCAAAGAGUGCAAAACAAUGCAUUUAGAUGGGAGCAGCUGGGAGCGGCAUGGGUUUUCCUUCCCCAGUUACGUCACUGGGAAAGCAACAGCAGCGCCAGCAAAACUCGCUCUCCCCCACCACGUCUCCUGCUCAUGCGUGGCUGGGUCUGAUUUUAAAUGACCCAAAAGUACUCCAAGGAAUGAAAGAUUACCAAGAAGAUAAGACCGUGUAUUCAGUAACAAACAGCUACCAAUACAAGAAACUGAAAGAUAGAAAUGAAAUUGGAAAAAAUGAUUUCACUCUGCAGUUUAACACUGAUGGUGUUCAAGCCGCAGAGCACGGUGGUUUGAGUUUUUGGCCAGUAUAUCUCACUCUUAAUGAGCUUCCCCUCUCAUUAAGAAGUGAGCACUACGUUAUGUGCGCAAUGUGGGUUUCUAAGCUAAAGCCUAACUUUGAUGCAUUCUUAGCUCCUUUAAAGGAAGAAUUGCAGGAUUUGCAUAAAAAUGGCUUAAAGACGGUCAAGGGCUGUCCAAAAAUUCACUUAAUUGUAGCAGCGGUCGAUGCACCGGCUAGAGCAGAACUUUGCAAACUCCAAAAUCCCGGAGGAUUUUUCUCGUGUAACUGGUGCUUCCGUCUAGCAAAAAGUAUAGUCAAGGGAAAAGGAAAAACUAGGAUUUUCCCUUAUGAAGAGGAGAAAUUGCUAAGAAACAAAAGAAACUUCCUUAGCAACGCCAGAGAAUGCUUAAAUUUGAAAAGAAUUUUUGCUGAAGGUGCUGAAAAAUCUGCCCCUAAAAGGAAAAAACAAAAAUUGCAAUCACUCAGUGAUUUACAUGUAAACGGAGUUAAGGGAGUCAGCACUCUUGCCACCAUCAAGCCAUUUGACAUUGUUGAUGGGUUCGUAAAUGACUAUCUACACUCCAUUGAUAUUGGUGUCAUGAAAAGUUGGGCCGACGCUGUAUUUGGUGCAAAAUUCACCAAAGAAACGUUUUCUUUUCGAAAGAAUCUCAACGAAAUGGAAAUUUUGUAUUUGAACGUCAAACCUCCGAGUGAAAUUACCAGGCUGCCAGAAAAACUUUCAAAAUUCAGCACUUUCAAAGCAGCUCCUGCAAAAAAUUUUUUCUUGUAUGCUCUCUUGCCAGUGUGCCAUAACUUCAUAUCGGAAGAAAUUUUGAACCACAUUUUUCUCCUAAUCUGGGCUCUACGCAUAUAUCUGCAAGAAAGAAUUCCCACACAAGAGCAACAAAGUCUGGCGAGGAAGAGUGUGGAAAAAUUUCUUAAGCAAUUCCCAGAAAAAUUUAAGGAAAACAUGCAGAUUUAUAAUCUACACAUCCUCCAGCACAUCCCAGGCAUUUGCUCUAAAUGGGGUUCCCUAUGGGACGCUAGCACAUUCAUGUUUGAGGGGCAAAAUGGAAAAGUGGCAAAAUUAAGUUCUGGAACACUGUAUCAAGGGGAACAGAAGCUUAGAAAACACAAAAUUAGUCAAUUUAUCAAAUAUUCAGGGUUGGAAAUAAAUAAGUGUUCAUCAGAAAUUGUUAAGGAAUGCCUAACUGCCCUGAAGCAGGCUGGAACACGAGAGAGUAAAAAGGCAAUAAAAGUCGGAAUAACAACUUUAUUGGGCCAUGGUGUGCGAAAGCCAUUAACACAAGAUGAAAUGACAGCCCUAGCUCAAAAGCAAGAUCAACCAUUUACUGUAACCAAAUUAUAUCAUAGAGGAGUUUUCAACAAAAUGUUAAUCAGCGCACUUGACCAUAAACGAUUAAAAAAGAGAGCAAACCAUUCCGUUUAUACAACCAACAAUGAAUUAGUCUGUGUCAAAAACUUUGUCCUCCUCAAGCUAUCAGACGAAACCAGCAGAGUAUAUGCAAACUGCAGAAAAUACAAAGUCCUGGACACCAUCUUGGCAAAAGACGAGGAACUGAAAAUCGCCUCAACAGACUUUAUUACAGAGGUCCAACUAACUGACGAUAUUAUAUUUGUUGCGCCAAUAGCCUUGGGAAAAAAAGCUUAUCUGGUAAACGUUGACGUCAGACUUUUUGCGCAACAAUUAGUUAACUCCAUUGAGAGAGAUUAGACAACUUCCUGUGCAGUGCUCCAGAUGUUCACUUUAACGCAGGCCAGUUUCCCAAAAGAAGAGAGGCUCAAGUGGCCGCUUAGAUGAAAAUAGGAAGGACUCUCUGCUCACCUGAGUAAUCAGUUUGUUCCCAGUGCAAUUCAAAAUCCGCAGCUGCUCUCUGACAAAAUCUGAACCUUUUACCACCCUACGCAGCGCUCACCAGUGCUCAGUUCACCUUAACGCAGGCCAGUUUCCCAAAACACGAGAGGCUCAAGUGGCCGCUUAGAUGAAAAUAGGAAGGACUCUCUGCUCACCUGAGUAAUCAGUUUGUUCCCAGUGCAAUUCAAAAUCCGCAGCUGCUCUCUGACAAAAUCUGAACCUUUUACCACCCUACGCAGCGCUCACCAGUGCUCAGUUCACCUUAACGCAGGCCAGUUUCCCAAAACACGAGAGGCUCAAGUGGCCGCUUAGAUGAAAAUAGGAAGGACUCUCUGCUCACCUGAGUAAUCAGUUUGUUCCCAGUGCAAUUCAAAAUCCGCAGCUGCUCUCUGACAAAAUCUGAACCUUUUACCACCCUACGCAGCGCUCACCAGUGCUCAGUUCACCUUAACGCAGGCCAGUUUCCCAAAACACGAGAGGCUCAAGUGGCCGCUUAGAUGAAAAUAGGAAGGACUCUCUGCUCACCUGAGUAAUCAGUUUGUUCCCAGUGCAAUUCAAAAUCCGCAGCUGCUCUCUGACAAAAUCUGAACCUUUUACCACCCUACGCAGCGCUCACCAGUGCUCAGUUCACCUUAACGCAGACCAGUUUCCCAAAACACGAGAGGCUCAAGUGGCCGCUUAGAUGAAAAUAGGAAGGACUCUCUGCUCACCUGAGUAAUCAGUUUGUUCCCAGUGCAAUUCAAAAUCCGCAGCUGCUCUCUGACAAAAUCUGAACCUUUUACCACCCUACGCAGCGCUCACCAGUGCUCAGUUCACCUUAACGCAGGCCAGUUUCCCAAAACACGAGAGGCUCAAGUGGCCGCUUAGAUGAAAAUAGGAAGGACUCUCUGCUCACCUGAGUAAUCAGUUUGUUCCCAGUGCAAUUCAAAAUCCGCAGCUGCUCGCUGCAAAAUCUGAACCUUUUACCACCCUACGCAGCGCUCACCAGUGCUCAGUUCACCUUAACGCAGGCCAGUUUCCCAAAAGAAGAGAGGCUCAAGUGGCCGCCGAGAUGAAAAUAGGAAGGACUCUCUGCUCACCUGAUUAAUCAGUUUGUUCCCAGUGCAAUUCAAAAUCCGCAGCUGCUCUCUGACAAAAUCUGAACCUUUUACCACCCUACGCAGCGCUCACCAGUGCUCAGUUCACCUUAACGCAGGCCAGUUUCCCAAAACACGAGAGGCUCAAGUGGCCGCUUAGAUGAAAAUAGGAAGGACUCUCUGCUCACCUGAGUAAUCAGUUUGUUCCCAGUGCAAUUCAAAAUCCGCAGCUGCUCUCUGACAAAAUCUGAACCUUUUACCACCCUACGCAGCGCUCACCAGUGCUCAGUUCACCUUAACGCAGGCCAGUUUCCCAAAACACGAGAGGCUCAAGUGGCCGCCGAGAUGAAAAUAGGAAGGACUCUCUGCUCACCUGAGUAAUCAGUUCGUUCCUAGUGCAAUUCAAAAUCUGCAGCUGCUCUCCGAAAAUGUGUGAACCUCAUUCCACCUUACGCAGCGCUCACCAGUGCUCCGGGAUUCACAUUUUCGGAGGCCGGUAUUCCAAGGCAAACAAGCCAGAGUGUUCCUGCUGAGUAUUUAUUAAAUCGGGCGCCAAAAUGCUCUUGAUUUGUGAUUAAAUUUUAUUUCUCAAAAAUAAUUUUUUUAUAUGCUUUGCACCCUUCUUUUUUGUCACGAUGUUAAACCCAGAGUUGAGUGAGUUCAAUACAGAAUGUUAUAUUAAGUCAUUGCUUAAAGGUAUAUAAAAAUGUUAAUGACUUCUGCAUAUUA